rnacentral:rRNA from 1 species
GACGAACGCUGGCGGCGUGCUUAACACAUGCAAGUCGAACGGUGAAGGGACCGGUCUUUGCUGGUUCUGGAUGAGUGGCGAACGGGUGAGUAACACGUGAGUAACCUGCUCCCUUCUUCUGGAUAACCGCAUGAAAGUGUGGCUAAUACGGGAUAUUCUGCGCCUGCUGCAUGGUGGGUGUGGGAAAGAUAUUGUUUCGGUGGGGGAUGGGUUCGCGGCCUAUCAGCUUGUUGGUGGGGUGAUGGCCUACCAAGGCGGUGACGGGUAGCCGGCCUGAGAGGGUGGACUGUCACAGUGAUACGAAGACACUACCCAUACUCCUACAUGCGCCAGCGUUGUUACAUAUUGCACAAUGAGCGAAAGCCUGAUCCAGCGACCCCGCGUGAGGGAUGGCUGCCUUCGGGUUGUAAACCUCUUUCGCCAGUUAAACAGUCCUGUCCCCUUUGUAGAUGCAUUAACGGUAGCUGGAUAAGAAGCGCCGGCUAACUACGUG